UUUUAUGCCAAAUGUACGGACAUUGCAAGUUAAUC
rnacentral:scRNA from 1 species